UCGAGAAUUUUUCACAAUGGGGGCAACCCUGAUGGAGCAACGCCGCGUGGAGGAUAAGGUCUUCGGAUUGUAAACUCCUGUCAUGCGUGAACAAGGUUGCCUGGUUAAUACGCGGGUAACUUGAUGGUAACGCAAGAGGAAGAGACGGCUAACUCUGUGCCAGCAGGCGCGGUAAUACAGAGGUCUCAAGCGUUGUUCGGAAUCACUGGGCGUAAAGGGUGCGUAGGUGGUGUGGUAAGUCAGAUGUGAAAGCCCGGGGCUCAACCUCGGAACUGCAUCCGGUACUGCUGUGCUAGAGUACUGGAGAGGUGACUAGAAUUCUCUGUGUAGCAGUGAAAUGCGUAGAUAUCGGGAGGAAGACCAGCGGCGUAGGCAGGUCACUGGACAGUUACUGACACUGAGGCGCGAAAGCCAGGGGAGCAAAC
rnacentral:rRNA from 1 species